UAGAGUAGCAAUUUGUAUUAGAGUUGUAUGGAAGAUCAAAUUGUAAUCUAAUUUUAUAGAGUGAGUGAAAGAAUCUAAGAAGAAGAAGGUAAAGAUUAUGGAAAAAAGAGAUUGUUAGACAUGGAGUAUAAGAAUAGAUUCAAAUUAGUAGAGACAAUUAUAAAUUAUAAGAAAGAAGAAGUGUCCAUUCUAGAAGAGCUUAAGCUAAUUAAAAUAGAGGUGAUAAUAGUACAGGACUAAGCUAGUAUUGACAGAUUUAAGCUGCACGGCUAUUUUAGAAGAGGCAAUGAAGUGAAGGCAUUCUUAUUAGAUGAGAUCAAAGCAAUGGU
rnacentral:lncRNA from 1 species